UACGAAGGGGGCUAGCGUUGUUCGGAAUUACUGGGCGUAAAGCGCGUGUAGGCGGGGCUUUAAGGCAGGGGUGAAAUGCCAAGGCUCAACCUUGGAACUGCCUUUGAUACUGGAGAUCUUGAGUCCGGGAGAGGUGAGUGGAAUUGCGAGUGUAGAGGUGAAAUUCGUAGAUAUUCGCAAGAACACCAGUGGCGAAGGCGGCUCACUGGCCCGGAACUGACGCUGAGGCGCGAAAGCGUGGGGAGCAAACAGG
rnacentral:rRNA from 1 species